CCUACGGGUGGCUGCAGUGAGGAAUAUUGGUCAAUGGCCGAGAGGCUGAACCAGCCAAGUCGCGUGAGGGAAGACGGCCCUACGGGUUGUAAACCUCUUUUGUCGGGGAGCAAAGAGAGUCACGUGUGACUCAUUGUGAGUACCCGAAGAAAAAGCAUCGGCUAACUCCGUGCCAGCAGCCGCGGUAAUACGGAGGAUGCGAGCGUUAUCCGGAUUUAUUGGGUUUAAAGGGUGCGCAGGCGGAGGUGGAAGUCAGCGGUGAAAGGUUGCGGGUCAACCCCAUAAGUGCGGUGGAACUUGGCAGUCGUGAGAACAGCAGAGGUGUGCGGAAUGCGUGGUGUAGCGGGGAAAUGCUUAGAUA
rnacentral:rRNA from 1 species